CAUGUUACACGGUGCAAUUUUUCUUGCAACUUGCAAUGCAAUUCUACUCUUGAGAGAUGUUAAAACAUCAUGCAAGUUGCAAGAAAAAUUGCACCGUGUAACAUG